rnacentral:rRNA from 1 species
GACGAACGCUGGCGGCGUGCUUAACACAUGCAAGUCGAACGGAAAGGCCCCUUUGGGGGUACUCGAGUGGCGAACGGGUGAGUAACACGUGAGUAACCUGCCCUUGACUUCGGGAUAACUUCAGGAAACUGGGGCUAAUACCGGAUAGGAAUCCUUGCUGCAUGGUGGGGGUUGGAAAGCUUCGGCGGUUUUGGAUGGACUCACGGCUUAUCAGCUUGUUGGUGGGGUAGUGGCUUACCAAGGCUUUGACGGGUAGCUGGCCUGAGAGGGCGACCGGCCACAUUGGGACUGAGAUACGGCCCAGACUCCUACGGGAGGCAGCAGUGGGGAAUAUUGCACAAUGGGCGGAAGCCUGAUGCAGCAACGCCGCGUGCGGGAUGACGGCCUUCGGGUUGUAAACCGCUUUCAGCAGGGGCGAAGCUUGUGGUGACGGUACCUGCAGAAGAAGCACCGGCUAACUACGUG